GACGAACGCUGGCGGCGUGCUUAACACAUGCAAGUCGAACGAUGAAGCUGGAGCUUGCUCCGGUGGAUUAGUGGCGAACGGGUGAGUAACACGUGAGCAAUCUGCCCUUGACUCUGGGAUAACUGCGGGAAACUGUAGCUAAUACCGGAUACCUUCACUGGAAGGCAUCUUCUGGUGAAGAAAGAAUUUCGGUCAAGGAUGAGCUCGCGGCCUAUCAGCUGGUUGGGGAGGUAACGGCUCACAAAGGCGAGGACGGGUAGCCGGCCGGAGAGGGUGACCGGCCACACUGGGACUGAGACACGGCCCAGACUCCUACGGGAGGCAGCAGUGGGGAAGAUUGCACAAUGGGCGCAAGGCUGAUGCAGCAACGCCGCGUGAGGGAUGAAGGCCUUCGGGUUGUAAACCUCUUUUAGCAGGGAAGAAGCGAAAGUGACGGUACCUGCGGAAAAAGCACCGGCUAACUACGUGCCAGCCGCCGCGGUAA
rnacentral:rRNA from 1 species